CACCCGGGCACCAGGUGACCCGCAGGACGGACCUUCAAAGGGUCUAGCUUGCUCAGAGUAUCUGCAGUAAGCGUGCACAGUGAGCCACCACCGGGCCGAGUCCAUCUUCCGCUACAUCCCUUGACAACGUAGGGUCUUGUAUAAUUAUUUUAUACUUGUAAUCUAAUCUGUGUAGAGCUCCGAUAUUGCCCUAGUAUACUUGUCUAACUGUUAGUAUGUAAAUUUUUGUAUGCUGGCAGUUGGUGUAUAUUCUUAUACAUGUUUGACAGGUGUAAUCUUGGGAUUGGUCUAAUUGUAGGGGAGACUAUGCUGAGUUUUUCGGCAAAAGUCAAACCCCAGUUUUAGUUGAA